UACGUAGGGUGCGAGCGUUGUCCGGAAUUACUGGGCGUAAAGAGCUCGUAGGUGGUUUGUCGCGUUGUUCGUGAAAACUCACAGCUUAACUGUGGGCGUGCGGGCGAUACGGGCAGACUGGAGUACUGCAGGGGGAGACUGGAAUUCCUGGUGUAGCGGUGGAAUGCGCAGAUAUCAGGAGGAACACCGGUGGCGAAGGCGGGUCUCUGGGCAGUAACUGACGCUGAGGAGCGAAAGCGUGGGGAGCGAACAG
rnacentral:rRNA from 1 species